CCCAUUACUUUGGUGUUGCUCUGGUUAUUGGCAAGGCUAGCAGCAGCCAUGAGCUGUCUUGAAUCAUGCAUAUUCUGAAACUUCGCAAUAGUUUUAGAAUAACUAUUCAGGCUCUCUGCAUAUGAACACAGAAAUGGAUGUCAAGUACUGAAGGUGAAAUAGGCUCACUAACAUGUUACAGAUGGUUUGUGUGGGAGUAGUUCACCAAUGCUUGAUGAUUGAUCCACUUCCCCAUUUCUUGUUUCAGAUAAAUGGCUAUCAUCAGCUUGAAUGUCAGAGUGUUCCUGAGGCUGUUUACUCUUAUCUGAACUUUCCUUUGCAGCGUCACCAGAUCCUGACCCAGGUAUCACCCUAUGUAUACUUUGCAGGUUCAAUUAUUCAUUUAAUGUUACAUUUUGAUAGUGUAGUCUGGUACAUUUUGAAUGCGCGGGGUGCCUUCUUAAUGGAGAGGUGAUGUUGUUGACCUGCAUAAUUGCUGAGAAUAUAGGGCCAGUAGGGGACUCCCCUGCUGUUCAGGUCAAAAAAAUGCUGAGGGCAUCUAUGCUUAGGCUGUCAAAGAAAUCACGCCGCAGCUUAGGCUUGCCAAAGAAAUCACGCCGCAUCUAUGCUGUUUUUUUGCGCCGCAGUUUGCCAAAAGCGUGGCGGACGUUUUGUCCGCUGCAGCUUUGGCGUGGCCAGAACUGCGGCCUGGCGAGCUCCGGCGGCUACCAAACAGGACCAUAAUCUUGUUGUGUUUUCUGCCUUAUGAACCCCAUCACUCAGAACUUGACAUCUCCAACUAUAAAGGCAGUUAGUUAUUGUGUUAUCAUCAAGGAGUUGUCUGGUUCAGUAUUGAGAUGCAGUGAAUUUCGGUGUGGGAAACUUGAUUACUGGUCACCGAAACAAACUAGGAAAUGCAUGCUUAGACACCAAACAAACUGGGAAGUGAUGCUUAAAACAACUUUAGUUCCGCUGUGCAUUACCUUGUAGUAGAAACUGUGAUGGGACCAGUAGACGCCCAUCUCAUGACUCUUGGUGCUUGCUAUUGAAAUGAAACAAGCAUGGAUAGUGCAUUCUUUGCAGGUUCAAUUAUUCAUUUAAU
rnacentral:lncRNA from 1 species